rnacentral:lncRNA from 1 species
AUCCCCAUGAGAGGCUGCCGGGGAAACGAGCAUCCAGGAAGGCUUCAAUGGACAUAAAGCACACAGCACUGCUGCAUGCAGCAGGCAGCCCAGGGAGGCACGAGAGAUGCAUUCUUUCUGCUGCUCCCAAAAAACCCAACUCGCAGCCUCCCUCCUCAUGCACCAUUCCCCAGGAGCAGAUCCACGUGAUGGCUGCAGUGAAUGCUUUCCUGCCAUGAGACGUUCCAGAGUGUUGUCUGUCCCCUUGAAAAUUGAUACGAAACUCCCCGCAUACUACACGGCUGGUGACACGCUCAGCAAAUGAGGAGUCUGGGAAGAAAUCAAC